CUAGGUAUGAUGAGCUAUCGCUCUCUUCCAGUGAGCGGGGGCCACAUCUGCCCUGUUAGUAGAUCGAAUUAUCCGAAGGGUCGGUGUUAUUGCCGGCUUCUUCUUUGUGAUAUGUACACUGGUGUAAUCCAUUUACGGCAAUCGAGAAUCCUCUUCUCUCCAUAUAUAUGUCUUCCGAUGAGUGCCUCAACUUGUUA
ensembl:ncRNA F56E3.12 ncRNA